rnacentral:tRNA from 1 species
AGCUUUAUAGUCAAUAUAUGAUAUCAGAUUGCAAAUUUGAAGUAGUAAUAAUUACUAAAGCUU